UGGGGAAUAUUACACAAUGGAGGAAACUCUGAUGUAGCAACGCCGCGUGGAGGAUGACACAUUUCGGUGCGUAAACUCCUUUUAUGUGAGAAGAUAAUGACGGUAUCACAUGAAUAAGCACCGGCUAACUCCGUGCCAGCAGCCGCGGUAAUACGGAGGGUGCAAGCGUUACUCGGAAUCACUGGGCGUAAAGCGCGCGCAGGCGGCUUUGUAAGUUGGAUGUGAAAUCCUAUGGCUUAACCAUAGAACUGCAUCCAAAACUACUUAGCUAGAGUCUGGGAGGGGAAGAUGGAAUUAGUGGUGUAGGGGUAAAAUCCGUAGAGAUCACUAGGAAUACCAAAAGCGAAGGCGAUCUUCUGGAACAGUACUGACGCUGAGGCGCGAAAGCGUGGGGAGCAAA
rnacentral:rRNA from 1 species